GGCUGGUGAUGCAUUGAAUUGUGCGUACCAUCUGAAAUUGAUUCUUUGACGAAAUCCCUUUUACAUCUCUCUCUCUGAGGCUU
rnacentral:snoRNA from 1 species